rnacentral:rRNA from 1 species
CGUAACAAGGUUUCCGUAGGUGAACCUGCGGAAGGAUCAUUACACAGCCCACGCCCUGGCCCGUCCAGGGGCAGAUGGGGGGCGCGCGAGCGCCCGACCCCACACUCUCCGCGUACGAUUCCCUGUUGCUUCCCCGGGGAGGGACAAACCACCCCGGGGGAGGACCCCCCAAGAGCACACGAUGCCGACCAACAGACGUUUCCACCCCCCCCUUGUCUGAAGGGCCAGAGUGCCAGGAAGGAAGGAGCGAGCAAAGAGAUGAAUGCAAAAAACUUUCAACAACGGAUCUCUUGGUUCCCGCAUCGAUGAAGAACGCAGCGAAAUGCGAUAAGUAAUGUGAAUUGCAGAAUUCAGUGAAUCAUCGAAUCUUUGAACGCACAUUGCGCCCCCUGGCAUUCCGGGGGGCAUGCCUGUUCGAGCGUCUCCAGGAAGAAGACUCACGCGGCGCAAAGCGUGGUGGUGGCGGCGGCGGCGGUCCCGAGAGGGCAGCCACCCCGGCGGAAUUGAUGGGCGGACGACUGCCGCGUCCCUGAGCGUGAUAUUCUUGCUAUCGCCUCGAGCGCGGCGAGGCACCCAGCCCCGGCCAGUCGCCUCCCGCAUCGGAGAGUGUGAUAUUUUGCUAUCGCCUCCCGAGCGGCUAGGCUGCCAGCCCUGCCACCUGGGCAGGGCAGGGAGACCCAUGUCAUUGGAACUCCUCGAUCAGGGCAGGGAUACCCGCUGAACUUAAGCAUAUCAU